GACGAACCGUACGAACGUUAUUCGGAAUCACUGGGCUUAAAGGGUGCGUAGGUGGUUAGGUAAGUCCGAUGUGAAAUCUCCAGGCUCAACCUGGAAAUGGCAUUGGAUACUAUCUAGCUUGAGGAGUGGAGGGGGGACUGGAAUUCUCGGUGUAGCAGUGAAAUGCGUAGAUAUCGAGAGGAACACCAGUGGCGAAGGCGAGUCCCUGGACACUCCCUGACACUGAGGCACGAAAGCUAGGGGAGCAAACAGG
rnacentral:rRNA from 1 species